rnacentral:rRNA from 1 species
UAGAUACCCUAUUAUUUUAGAUUUAAAAAGUUAAGCUUGAGUAGUAUUAGAUAUGGUCUUGAAACUUAAAGAAUUUGGCGGUAUUUUAGUCUAGUUAGAGGAAUCUGUUCCGUUAUCGAUAAUCCACGUUGGACCUUACUCAGUAUAAUUUAAUAUGUAUACCGCUGUUUAUUUGAAAAUCUUUUUAGGGUUAAUUUUCUUUAAAUUUUAAUUGAUUUUAUUUCAGGUCAAGGUGCAGUUUAUGAUUGAGUGGAAAUGGAUUACAUUAUUUAUAAAGUAAACGAAUUAAUAUUUGAAAAUAUUUUAUGAAGGGGGAUUUAAUAGUAAUUAAUAAUAAGAAUUAUUUUUGUGAUUUUAGCUCUAGAAUGGGCACACAUCGCCCGUCACUCUCGUUAUUAAGAUGAGAUAAGUC